UACGGGGGAUGCAAGCGUUAUCCGGAAUUAUUGGGCGUAAAGGGUCCUGAGGUGGCUAGCCAAGUCUAUUGUGAAAUAUCAGGGCUUAACCCUGAACAUGCGGUGGAAACUAGAAAGCUUGAGUACAGUAGGGGCGGAGGGAAUUUCCGGUGGAGCGGUGAAAUGCAUAGAUAUCGGGAAGAACACCCGUGGCGAAGGCAGCACUCUGGGCUUGACAAAUGGAAUGGAAACAUUUCUACCUGACGCUGAGGUAGCGAAAGCGUGGGGAGCGAACAGGA
rnacentral:rRNA from 1 species